ensembl:snRNA U6 U6 spliceosomal RNA
GUGCUAGCUUUGCCAGCACAUAUACUAAAAUUGGAAUGAUACAGAGAUUAGCAUGGUCCCUGCACAAGGAUGACACGCAAAUUCAUGAAGCGUUCCAUAUUUUU